UGCUUUAUACUAAAUUUCUUUUGUUCAAAAUAUUUUUCCUACAUAGAACAAAGAGGUGAAGAAAAAGACUUUAGAGUCAAAGAAAGUAUCUGCAUCUACCUUAAAAAGAGAUGCAGAUGCUUCAAAAGCCGUUGAAAUUGUUACUUCAACUUCUGCUGGUUAGUUAUGCAAUAUCUCCCUCCAUCCCCUCCCGAUAAACCCACAAGACAAAACAUAAGAAAGCCAAAACUGGACAAGCCAAGGCAUCUGUAGCCAAAGUAAACAAAUCUGCAGGGAAAUCAGCAAGUUCUGUAAAAUCUGUGGUAACGGUAGCUGCUAAAGGUAAUAAAG
rnacentral:sRNA from 1 species